rnacentral:rRNA from 1 species
GACGUAGGGCGCGAGCGUUGUCCGGACUUAUUGGGCGUAAAGAGCUCGUAGGCGGCUCGUUGCGUCGGCUGUGAAAACCCGCAGCUCAACUGUGGGCUUGCAGCCGAUACGGGCGGGCUGGGAUUCGGUAGGGGAGACUGGAAUUCCUGGUGUAGCGGUGAAAUGCGCAGAUAUCAGGAGGAACACCGGUGGCGAAGGCGGGUCUCUGGGCCGAUAUCGACGCUGAGGAGCGAAAGCGUGGGGAGCGAACAGG